ACUGCCCCUAGAGGUGUAGCAGGUAUGGCUGCCAUGUCACAGGCGUAUCAGUAGGUGGCAGAGGGGACAGGCCAUGUCUAUGUUCACUGAACAUCCGAAUGAUUAGUAGCCUAAUGGU
ensembl:snoRNA LOC120095452 small nucleolar RNA SNORA17